rnacentral:rRNA from 1 species
GAUGAACGCUGGCGGCGCGCCUAACACAUGCAAGUCGAACGAUUAAAGCACCUUCGGGUGUGUAUAAAGUGGCGAACGGCUGAGUAACACGUGGGCAACCUGCCCCUUUCAUUGGGUUAGCCACGGGAAACCGUGGAUAAUACCGAAUACUUCGAGACUUCCGCAUGGAAGACUCGAGAAAGCUCCGGCGGAGGGGGAUCGGCCCGCGGCGUGUUAGCUUGUUGGUGGGGUAACGGCCUACCAAGGCGAUGAGGCGUAGCUGGGCUGAGAGACUGAAGAGGCACAGGUGAACUGAGAGAGGGGGCAGAGGACAAAGGGAGGCAGGGGUGGGGGAGAUUGGACCAGGGGCGAAAGGGGGAUCAAGGCAUGCCGCGUGUGUGAAGAAGGUCUUCGGAUUGUAAAGCACUGUAAGUGGGGAGGAAGGGAAGUAAGUGAAUACCUUGCUGUUUUGACGUGACCAACAGAAGAAGAACCGGCUAACUUCGUG